GCUGUUGGUCUUUCCGUUGUCCUCAUCCGCCAGUCGACAUAGGUCCCUGCGAAUUGCUAAAUACGGUCAUUUAGUGUCGUGUUUACACCUACAGAACAUAGGUAUUUUGUGUUAUUUAAGAUAACUGCCGCGUCAAUACACGGAUUAUUGAAGCCUGCUUUGUUUGGUUUGUUCUUUUGAGUCGAGAUUGGACAUCGCUGGUGUUUCAGCGUCCAUGUCCCCUGCUGCGGAGUGAUCUUUACUUCAUUGGAACCGACAAUGUGGAGGCUGUUAAAAUGUCUACUUGGAAAAUGAAAUUGUUACAUUUUCUCUAACAAUAAGGAAACAGAGCGGCUUCAGCGUUAUGGUUAGUAACGUGUUUUCAGUUUCGUGACGAAAACAACAAGCAGACGAGGCGACGGAGGAGUGGUUCAUAUUGUCUUUCCUCCUUUUCAUCGAGCCCACAGUCCGGACCACGGGGGGAAGGAUCCGAUCCCCAACUUUGUUUUUCUCUAUACUGCAGCCGUCGAUUUCUCCCUGUUGGAUGCCAUAUAAUUGAAUCCAGUCGCUUGCUGAGACUGAAAGGGCCAAGUUAACAGCAGCAGAGAAUGGCUGCAGUGGAAACAGACAAGGAGCUCAACGACUUGCUGGAUUUUAGCGCGUUUCUCUCUUUUCAGAUGUUUGAGCCUCCAGUUUCAAACGGCAAGAACCGUCCGACUACUCUCGCCAGCAGUCAGUUUGGAGGUUCGGGUAUGGAUGACAGGAGUGGGUCCGGUCCCUGGGGCCCAGGAGAACAGAACAGUCCAUCUUUCAACCAGGGAAGGGGUUAUGCAGAACAAGGCCUUUACAAUGAGCAAGAGGGCAUUGCCUCUGCCCCCAUGUAUGGAUCAGGGAUUGUUGGGAAGGCUGAGCGAGGACCAUACUCGUCAUUUUCAGCACAGCCGGGCUUUAUGCCCAGUGAGAUGCCCAUGCCCAGUCCUGAUGCCCUCUCCCCAUCUGGCCUGAAGUCCAACUCCCAGUUUUAUUCCUCCUAUGAGGGAAGCAACUCUCGCAGGAGACCCUCACAGGAGCCUAUUGGACCACAACCCAAAAAGAUCAGGAAGGUGCCCCCUGGCCUGCCCUCCUCUGUUUAUGCAUCUGCCUCAGGAGAGGAUUUUAACAGGGACAAUGCUGGCUACCCAGUCUCCAAGGCAGGAAACGUCUUCCCACCACCAUUCUAUGUGCAAGAAGGCCUCCACCCGCCCUCUGAUCCAUGGGGCUCUGCCAGGUCGAUGGUUCAGCCUGGUUAUUCUGCCAUGCUGGGCAACUCCCCCCAUCUGAGCCAGCAUGCUCCCUUUACUGCCAUCAACCCCCAAGACAGACUGAAACGGCAGCCAUUGCCCCUCUCUCCCCAGAACUUCCCCAUGCAUGGCAGUGAGGUGAACGGGACUCAUCCCUCUGGUUUCCACUCUGGCCCUAGCAGCUUUGGAGUCCCCAGCCACACACCCCCUAUGGCUGAGCCUAUUAUGGCCAAUCGAGGAACAGCACCUGGCAGUUCAGGAGAUGAAAUUGGAAAAGCCCUGGCAUCUAUCUAUCCUUCAGACCCACACAGUAACACCUUCCCACCGUCUCCGUCUACUCCCUCUGGCUCUCCUCAGGCUGUUUCAGGCUCUGCAUCACAGUGGACUCGGUCCUCUGGUCAGGCCACACCGUCACCCAACUUUGAGGGUGGAAUUCAGUCCAUGCCGAAUAAAAUGGAGGACCGUCUGGACGAAGCCAUCCAUGUUCUACAGCGUCACGCCAGCGGACAAGGAGUGCCAGGCCUGGCUGAGAUGCACAAUCUGCUCUCGUCUGGCUUAGGGUUACCUCCAGCCUUCACCAGUGCAGCACUUGGAUUGGCCAGUCGCGUGACUGGACUGAUGUCUGGUCACCAUGAGGAGUCUGCUGGUCUGCCCUCUAGUGGUGGACUUAUGCAUGGUCACCAUGGCCCCACAUCUGUCCAGCCAGGCUCUCAGCCUGAAGGUUUUACAGGCCUGUCUGGUAGCCUGAAGCGCUCCAGUGGUUCUGAUAUCAAACGAGAGGACAAGGAGGACGAUGAAAACUGCUCAAUCACCGACAGGUCAGAGGAUGAGAUAAAAGACAUGAAGGAUCGUCUUGGAUCAAGUCUGGAUGAUGAGGAAGACGAUGAAGAUCUACCAGUGGAGGUUAAGGCUGAGCGGGAGAAAGUGAGGAGGAUGGCAAACAACACCCGUGAACGACUACGUGUGCGGGACAUCAACGAGGCUUUUAAGGAGCUGGGCCGCAUGUGUCAGCUCCAUCUGAGCCACGAGAAACCGCAGACCAAAUUGAUCGUACUGCAACAGGCCGUUAACGUUAUACUCAACCUGGAGCAGCAAGUUCGAGUGUUGUUUCGGUGACCGAUGAGAACCUGACUGCCGAGGAGAAGGAGCAGAGGGAGCGUGAGCGCCGCCAUGCUAACAACACUAGGGAGAGGGUGCGUGUGCGUGACAUUAACGGAGCCUUCAGAGACCUGGGCAGGAUGGUUCAGGUCCACCUGCAGAGUGACAAGGCCCAGACCAAGCUUAUCAUCCUGCAACAGGCUGUCCAGGUCAUAAUGGGCCUGGAGAAGCAGGUGCGAGAGCGUAAUUUGAACCCAAAGGCAGCCUGCCUCAAGAGGAGAGAGGAGGAAAAAGUGUCAGGCGUUGACCCCCAGAUGCUUGGUGGGGGUCACCCUGGUCUUGGAGGAGAUGGACAUAUGUGAUUCUCAGUUCCUGUUGAUUGUACAGCCCUUAGAACACGUGGCCUUAAUCUAUCAUUGUCAUGCAUCUCAGUGUGUGUUAAUCAACUUUUGGAAAGCACACACGCACACACCUCAUUACUGACAAAGCAGGUGGCCACAUUCCUGAUAUGAAUACAAAAGUAACAAGCACACUCUUACAGGAAGAGGGGAAAUGUAUUAAUCUUAACAAGACAACACUUUGAACCGAGGACACCGGUUUGGAGACAGUGGAAAUUGGACAUAAGGACAUUCUUAUGAUCAUGUUUUUGUAAGACAUUUUGAAAAAUUGCUUCACAUGUUGGGAGCAAAACUUGUUUGGAUCAAAUGAAACCUUUUGGAUCAACUGCUUGUGUAAGCAGAGUUAGGAUUUGUAUUGUUGGAUGAUUAUUGGCAUUCCCAUCUGAAAAGCAGGUCUUACAUUCUUCACAGGCAAAGAGGGACACCCGGGUUCAUAUCAUACGAUUGAACAGAACCUGUUUAAACAUGUGCCCAAAUGAGGCCGAAUGCAUAGUGUUUCAUUCAGAUAAAAUAGCCAUCAUUAUUAUCUUCUUUCGUAAUGACUGAAUUACAGAGGUAGGCUUGGUGACAUCAGAGAGCUGACUCCUUUCUUUGUGGUAUGCUGGAGUUUCUGGAUGUGUUUUUUUUUAAUUUUUAUUUCUUGCUUUGGCUGAAAAGGAGCCACAGUCACUGUGUUAUACAUGUGGUAGGUUAUUUUUUGUUGAUUUGUAUUUGUACUGGAGACUGCUGGGAGAGACCCUCCACUGACAAACACAAGCAAAGACUCAAUCCAAAUCCAGGAACCGCAGUGAUGUUGAAACUAAUGUGCAGAUGCACGUCCCAACAGGUGGGACUGGAGCAUUCAGACGCCAUUCUCACUGCCCAGCAUCAGUCGCUCUCAGCCUCGUGGUCAGCCAGUGUCACAUCCGCCUGCCCCGGUCCAAUCAUACCUGAAGACUCUGUUCCAGCAUGGUGAACUUACUAAACUGAAGUCUCCGAGCAAUUUGUAUUAUGGUAAAUCGCAUUUUGCUAGAAGACAGAAAUAAUUGAGUAUUGAAAGGGAUCAUGAGUGUUCCUGCUACCCUGUAGAGAAUUCACUCGCCAUUGACAGACUUGUUUUGGUUGUUGCUGUGUGUUGAGCAUUUGGUGUUUUGUUUUUUUCCCCCUUUUGAACAAUUGCAAAGCCUGUUGUAAGGAUCUUCCUUUUGUAGAAUUGAUUUAUCAUCGUUUUUUAUUGUUUCUUUUUUUUUUACUUUGUAAGAUAGUUGUAUGAGUUUUGUUUUUAUCAUUUGGAAUGCUCUUUCUUUUUUUGUUUACGUUGUUUAAAUGUAAGACGACUCUCAAUUUAGAUUCCAGGAACAAAGUGAGGUGUUUUCUUUUGUGCCAGGUGCUUAGAAAUGUUAGAAAUGACAAACUUAUCUGGCUGUAACAUCACAUGUUGUGAUAUUGCUCUUUUCUUUUUUUUAAUGCAUGUUUGAAAACAAAUCUGUCAUGCCAGUUGUAAUUGGAUUGUUCUGGUGUUUGCGACAGUUUUUCUUAAAUGAAACACAAUAUUUUUCUUCGGCACACCCCCCUCUGCUCUCCUUGGAUGUCCAGUUCUCUGACGAGCUUGUUGAUUCGUUUGAGGAAGGGGCAGAAGGGGCGGUCUGCACAAUCUGCAACACAAUUCACUGUUUCAUUAUGAUAUGAAGCAUAAAACGAAUCAAAAAGGGUGGCCUUAGUCAUUUUCCUGACUUUGGGAGUUUUGAUAAUGGUUACUCACCAGUGCCUGAAUACUUCUCUGCUACAUGGUGGAUGAUGUUGCAUUUGAUGAUUUAUAGGUUGUACCUUUUUAUAAUACAGAUGUAUAAAAACAUAUAUACUUCAGUAACAUCUGACAGUGUCUCAGAACAUCUAAAUGAAGAAUCACACCCACUGACGCUGACUGCUUCAGUGUCUGUGUCAUUAAAUGUAAGAUGACUAAUAACCCGGUCUUCAACUUUGACGCUGAAAACUACUUAAUAUGUUUCAUCUUUUAUGUACUGAUUUUGUUAAGUAUAAUUUUGUCCUUGACUGGCAUGUGCAUUGAUAUGUAUGUACAGCUGUGAUAUAUCAGCUUUAUCAUUAUAAGCUGAUACUGAUAUGUAACAGUAUUUGGUUUUCUACCUGUCAUUUAUCCCAAAUCUUGCCCCAAACAUUAUUUUCUUUGUCAAGUCACUCUAACCUUUCUGCAGAAAAAACGUGGUGUUGUUGUGAUAUGAAAUCUCUACUAAAGACUUGUACUUUUAUUUCUUUACAUGAAAGAUAUGUCUGCAGUAUCCAAGGAUCAAAAAUGCACCGGAUAUUCUUUGUUAACAGACCCUUUUUGUCCUCUACAACAGAUGACCUGCUACAAAUCUCUCUGUCUUCACUCAUGUUUGGGGACAACAUCUAUGUAGGCUAUGUCCUCAAAGUGCCUCCAGUUUCCUAUUUUUUAUAUAUAAAGUAGAUAUAGAGAACUGUUGUGUAUAUAACAGUAAUGUAGCAAUAAAUGUGCCAUUUUUAAUAACAAACA